rnacentral:rRNA from 1 species
AACGAACGCUGGCGGCAUGCCUAACACAUGCAAGUCGAACGAGAUCUUCGGGUCUAGUGGCGCACGGGUGCGUAACGCGUGGGAAUCUGCCCUUUGGUUCGGAAUAACAGUUGGAAACGACUGCUAAUACCGGAUGAUGACGAAAGUCCAAAGAUUUAUCGCCAGAGGAUGAGCCCGCGUAGGAUUAGCUAGUUGGUGUGGUAAAGGCCCACCAAGGCGAGGAUCCUUAGCUGGUCUGAGAGGAUGAUCAGCCACACUGGGACGGAGACACGGCCCAGACUCCUACGGGAGGCAGCAGUGGGGAAUAUUGGACAAUGGGCGAAAGCCUGAUCCAGCAAUGCCGCGUGAGUGAUGAAGGCCUUAGGGUUGUAAAGCUCUUUUACCCGGGAUGAUAAUGACAGUACCGGGAGAAUAAGCUCCGGCUAACUCCGUGCCAGCCGCCGCCGUAA